rnacentral:rRNA from 1 species
CAGCAGCCGCGGGAAUACGAAGGGUGCAAGCGUUAAUCGGAAUUACUGGGCGUAAAGCGUGCGCAGGCGGUGAUGUAAGACAGUUGUGAAAUCCCCGGGCUCAACCUGGGAACUGCAUCUGUGACUGCAUCGCUGGAGUGCGGCAGAGGGGGAUGGAAUUCCGCGUGUAGCAGUGAAAUGCGUAGAUAUGCGGAGGAACACCGAUGGCGAAGGCAAUCCCCAGGGCCUGCACUGACGCUCAUGCACGAAAGCGUGGGGAGCAAACAGGAUUAGAUACCCCGGUAGUCCCUGUCUCUUAUAC